rnacentral:rRNA from 1 species
UUCCCUAGUAGCGGCGAGCGAAGCGGGAAGAGCUCAAAUUUAUAAUCUGGCACCUUCGGUGUCCGAGUUGUAAUCUCUAGAAGUGUUUUCCGCGUUGGACCGCACACAAGUCUGUUGGAAUACAGCGGCAUAGUGGUGAAACCCCCGUAUAUGGUGCGGACGCCCAGCGCUUUGUGAUACACUUUCAAUGAGUCGAGUUGUUUGGGAAUGCAGCUCAAAUUGGGUGGUAAAUUCCAUCUAAAGCUAAAUAUUGGCGAGAGACCGAUAGCGAACAAGUACCGUGAGGGAAAGAUGAAAAGCACUUUGGAAAGAGAGUUAACAGUACGUGAAAUUGUUGGAAGGGAAACGCUUGAAGUCAGACUUGCUUGCCGGAGCUUGCUUCGGUUUGCAGGCCAGCAUCAGUUUUCCGGGGUGGAUAAUGACGGUUUGAAGGUAGCAGUCUCGGCUGUGUUAUAGCUUUCCGUUGGAUACAUCCUGGGGGACUGAGGAACGCAGCGUGCUUUUUGCGAAAGACUCGUCUUUUUCACGCUUAGGAUGCUGGUGGAAUGGCUUUAAACGACCCGUCUUGAAACACGGACCAU